CGGAUUNAAGGCUGAAAUUCGCCUUCAUGAAGCCGGAAUUGCUAGUAAUGGCAGGUCAGCAUACUGCCGUGAAUACGUUCCCCGGGCCUUGUACACACCGCCCGUCACACCAUGAGAGUUGGGAAUACCCGAAGCCUGUGAGCUAACGAAAGAGGCAGCAGUCGAAGGUAGAAUCAAUGAUUGGGGUGAAGUCGUAACAAGGUAUC
rnacentral:rRNA from 1 species